rnacentral:rRNA from 1 species
CGCGGCCUAUCAGCUUGUUGGUGGGGUAACGGCCUACCAAGCCUAUGACGGGUAGCCGGCCUGAGAGGGUGUCCGGCCACAGUGGGACUGAGACACGGCCCACACCCCUACGGGGGGCAGCAGUGGGGAAUCGUGGGCAAUGGGCGAAAGCCUGACGCAGCAACGCCGCGUGGGGGAUGAAGGCUCUCGGGUUGUAAACCCCUUUCAGCAGGGACGAAUCAAGACGGUACCUGCAGAAGAAGCCCCGGCUAACUACGUGCCAGCAGCCGCGGUAACACGUAGGGGGCAAGCGUUGUCCGGAUUUAUUGGGCGUAAAGAGCUCGUAGGCGGCUGAGUAAGUCGGAUGUUAAAUCCCCAGGCUCAACCUGGGACACCACCCGAUACUACUCUGGCUAGAGUCCGGUAGGGGAGCAUGGAAUUCCUGGUGUAGCGGUGAAAUGCGCAGAUAUCAGGAGGAACACCAGCGGCGAAGGCGGUGCUCUGGGCCGGAACUGACGCUGAGGAGCGAAAGCGUGGGUAGCAAACAGGAUUAGAUACCCUGGUAGUCCACGCCGUAAACGUUGGGCACUAGGUGUGGGGUCUAUUCAACGGACUCCGUGCCGUAGCUAAUGCAUUAAGUGCCCCGCCUGGGGAGUACGG